UACAUAGGUCUCAAGCGUUGUUCGGAUUCAUUGGGCGUAAAGGGUGCGUAGGCGGCUCGGCAAGUCUGGUGUGAAAUCUCGGGGCUUAACUCCGAAACUGCAUUCGAUACUGCCGUGCUUGAGGACUGGAGAGGAGACUGGAAUUCACGGUGUAGCGGUGAAAUGCGUAGAUAUCGUAAGGAAGACCAGUGGCGAAGGCGGGUCUCUGGACAGUUCCUGACGCUGAGGCACGAAGGUCAGGGGAGCAAACGGG
rnacentral:rRNA from 1 species